AUGGGGAUGAGGAGAUGGAUCUGGGCGUGGCGGGUGUGUGGGAUCCACCUGGGAGGGGCUCCGGCCGUGACCCUGCUGGAGUCCGGGGGGGACCUCCAGCCCCCCGGGGGGUCCCUGCGCCUCCUCUGCCGAGGGUCCGGGUUCGAUUUUGGCAGUUUCACCAUGUACUGGGUUCGCCAGAGACCCGGGCAGGCGCUGGAGUGGAUCGCAGGGAUCAGGAACAAUGGAGCUUACACCUACUACGCGCCGUCGGUCAAGGGCCGGUUCACGAUCUCCAGGGACAACGGGCAGAGCUCGGUGACGCUGACCAUGAACAACCUCAAGGACGAGGAUUCCGGAUCCUAUUUCUGCGCCAAGGGUGCUUAUGCUGGUACUUGGGUGCUGCUGCUUAUGUUGAAGCCUGGAUCGUUCCCCCAAACCUCAGCCCUUGACCCUUUGUCUCACGUCUCCCCCAUUUUCACCAAUGCUGAGCGCUGA